UACGUAGGGUGCAAGCGUUAAUCGGAAUUACUGGGCGUAAAGCGCGCGCAGGCGGCUAUCCAAGUCAGUGGUGAAAGCCCGGAGCUCAACUCCGGAACUGCCAUUGAAACUGUUUAGCUUGAGGACGAGAGAGGUGAGUGGAAUUCCCAGUGUAGAGGUGAAAUUCGUAGAUAUUGGGAAGAACACCGGUGGCGAAGGCGGCUCACUGGCUCGUUUCUGACGCUCAGGCGCGAUAGCGUGGGGAUCAAACAGG
rnacentral:rRNA from 1 species